CUGGAUAAGGCAGAAGGCGUUGAUAUUUUAAGCAUAAUUUUUGGAAAAAUUUCAAAUCUUGUUACAAUUUGCUUAAAAAUUUAUGGUCAAAAUAAGGAAAACUGUGCAGCCAUAAUUUUCAGGACAUUCCUAAAUAUCCUAAUUGAUCGUUUAUCCAUUUUUAUAUAUUUUCAGUUUCGGUAGAGGCAAUAACACAAUAAGAAACACUGUAUUUCUUAUUUCCUUGUACCAAAAACCGUCAAUGCUGUAGGCAAAGAACACUAAACUAGUGUGUUGAAUUUAUCAUGAAAUUCUUCUCAUAAAACAUGAUGAAAUUGGAAUUCCGAUACAACUUCGACAACUUUCAGUACGUACAUUCAGUACAUCAGGGAGAAUUCUCUAGAUGCCCCCCUUGGAUCCGACCCCGCAGAUUUUCAUGUUAUAAAUCAAAUAUAUUUAAGUUCUGAAUUGGUUGUGGGACUCACUACCAGAAGUUUUGGUUCCGAAAUUUCGAAAUUACUUUAAAAAAUUAUAUCAAAAUGAUUUAGGAGAUAAAUAUAGAAAAAACACAAUUUCUUUAUCUUAGGAGGAGAUGAUAGAAAUAAUAUAACAUGAGGCAAGGGGCAAGUAACGUGAUUUCCGGAAGUUGAAGCGCAGGCGCAAAUGUCGUCGUUGUUGCUGUCGAAUUGAUUGUUGUUGCUGCUGCUGUUGCUGUUGUUGCUGCUGCCAAGAAGAAGCUAAGCCUGAAGAAAGUCGUGCCACAACAGCUGCAAACAGCAACGGCAACGGCAACGGCAGCCCAUGCCCAAAAAAACCAGCCAACCAGCCAACCAGCCAACCAGCCAUCCUGCUGUCUUCGUGCGAAUAAUGUCAUUUGUGUUUGUUUUAUAACCAAAAUAAAACCCACACAAAAAAAAGGGAACAACCUCAACAACAACAGCAACAAGAGAUUAUCACUAACUUGCCAACUGGCAUAAGACAAUAAAGAAAGAUAAACACAAAAAUCAAAUAGAAAUUAACAUGCCAUUAACAUUCAAAUCGUUACAGGUCAAUCCAUGCCAAAGGCCACCAAAUGAUGGGAAUUUCAACUAGGUCUACAUAUAUAAAAUGAGUUCUCUAACCAAAUAAUAGAGUAUCCUAAUGUUGGCAACUUGUACCAAAAAGUACGAGCACUAGGAAUUUUCUCAGUUGUCUUUAGCUGUCAGUUGUCCGCCAACUGUGUGUCAAAUUGCCUUCAACAGUUGAGCCAAUCCACAACACCGAAGGGACCACCACAAACUUCAAGGAAAUUAACUAAACCACGAACCAACAACCAAAAAAUAAAAAAAAAGAAAUUAAAUAUAAAA